CAUGAAUGCGAUCAAUCUUAACCUCGAAUAUGCUCGGAUAAUCAGGAUAAACUAGGACAAACGACCACUUUAUCGACACCACUAACAACGGUAAAUAAAUAAUAUUGGAAGAAAUUAAGUAAAAGAGUUGGUACAAAUGCAACGAAUGAAUUCUGUAUGGAAAUAACACAUGUCUGUCUAUCUCAACCUUAUAUUGGUUAAAUAAAUCUAAAAAGAAGGAGAAAAAAAAUUAUACAAAAUGAGAUAUUUUAGAAAUAUAUGAAUUUGUUGUGUUAGUUUCACACGUCAUAAAGAAAAGUAUAGCGAUAACAUAUUAUGUAACAGAAAUUUGUUUUGUUGAUAAAUAUCAGUAACCUAUA